GAGGAGUUAGCUCAGAGGUUAGAGCAGUUAAACAAGAUACUCUACAUACUGUUCUCUAGUAAUAGUAGUGAUUUGUAGAGAUACUUCAAGCACUUUCAUUGCACAGGUCAUAGGUUCGAGUCCUAUACUCCUCCCA
rnacentral:tRNA from 1 species